rnacentral:rRNA from 1 species
GUAGGGAAUAUUGCGCAAUGGGCGAAAGCCUGACGCAGCCAUGCCGCGUGAGUGACGAAGGCCUUCGGGUCGUAAAGCUCUUUUCUGAGGGAAGAACACCCGGUGGAGGAAAUGCCACCGGCUUGACGGUACCUCAGGAAUAAGGAACGGCUAACUCCGUGCCAGCAGCCGCGGUAAUACGGAGGUUCCAAGCGUUGUUCGGAAUUACUGGGCGUAAAGGGGGCGCAGGCGGCCAAAUUAGUCUAAAGUGGAAUCCCGGGGCUCAACCUCGGAAAGCCUUUGGAUACUGUUUGGCUUGAGUACGUGAGAGGAAGGCGGAAUUCAAGGUGUAGCGGUGAAAUGCUUAGAUAUCUUGAGGAACACCAAUGGCGAAAGCAGCCUUCUGGCACGACACUGACGCUGAGGCCCGAAAGCGUGGGGAGCAAACAGGAUUAGAAACCCCUGUAGUCC